GACGAACGCUGGCGGCGUGCCUAAUACAUGCAAGUUGAGCGAUGAAGAUUGGUGCUUGCACCAAUUUGAAGAGCAGCGAACGGGUGAGUAACGCGUGGGGAAUCUGCCUUUGAGCGGGGGACAACAUUUGGAAACGAAUGCUAAUACCGCAUAACAACUUUAAACAUAAGUUUUAAGUUUGAAAGAUGCAAUUGCAUCACUCAAAGAUGAUCCCGCGUUGUAUUAGCUAGUUGGUGAGGUAAAGGCUCACCAAGGCGAUGAUACAUAGCCGACCUGAGAGGGUGAACGGCCACAUUGGGACUGAGACACGGCCCAAACUCCUACGGGAGGCAGCAGGAGGGAAUCUUCGGCAAUGGACGAAAGUCUGACCGAGCAACGCCGCGUGAGUGAAGAAGGUUUUCGGAUCGUAAAACUCUGUUGGUAGAGAAGAACGUUGGUGAGAGUGGAAAGCUCAUCAAGUGACGGUAACUACCCAGAAAGGGACGGCUAACUACGUG
rnacentral:rRNA from 1 species